AAGUGGUAGGAGAGCGUUCUAUUUGCGUCGAAGGUAUACCGGUAAGGAGUGCUGGAGCGAAUAGAAGUGAGCAUGCAGGCAUGAGUAGCGAUAAUUAAUGUGAGAAUCAUUAACGCCGUAAACCCAAGGUUUCCUACGCGAUGCUCGUCAUCGUAGGGUUAGUCGGGUCCUAAGUCGAGUCCGAAAGGGGUAGACGAUGGCAAAUUGGUUAAUAUUCCAAUACCAACAUUAGUGUGCGAUGGAAGGACGCUUAGGGCUAAGGGGGCUAGCGGAUGGAAGUGCUAGUCUAAGGUUGUAGGAGGUUAUACAGGCAAAUCCGUAUAACAAUACUCCGAGAACUGAAAGGCUUUUUGAAGUCUUCGGAUGGAUAGAAGAACCCCUGAUGCCGUCGAGCCAAGAAAAGUUUCUAAGUUUAGCUAAUGUUGCCCGUACCGUAAACCGACACAGGUGGGUGGGAUGAGUAUUCUAAGGCGCGUGGAAGAACUCUCUUUAAGGAACUCUGCAAAAUAGCACCGUAUCUUCGGUAUAAGGUGUGGUUAGCUUCGUACUAGGAUUUACUCCGAAAGCGAAGAAACUUACAACAAAGAGUCCCUCCCGACUGUUUACCAAAAACACAGCACUCUGCUAACUCGUAAGAGGAUGUAUAGGGUGUGACGCCUGCCCGGUGCUCGAAGGUUAAUUGAUGGGGUUAGCAUUAGCGAAGCUCUUGAUCGAAGCCCGAGUAAACGGCGGCCGUAACUAUAACGGUCCUAAGGUAGCGAAAUUCCUUGUCGGUUAAAUACCGACCUGCAUGAAUGGCGUAACGAGAUGGGAGCUGUCUCAAAGAGGGAUCCAGUGAAAUUGUAGUGGAGGUGAAAAUUCCUCCUACCCGCGGCAAGACGGAAAGACCCCGUGGACCUUUACUACAGCUUGACACUGCUAUUUGGAUAAGAAUGUGCAGGAUAGGUGGGAGGCUUUGAGUAUAUGACGCCAGUUGUAUAUGAGCCAUUGUUGAGAUACCACUCUUUCUUAUUUGGGUAGCUAACCAGCUUGAGUUAUCCUCAAGUGGGACAAUGUCUGGUGGGUAGUUUGACUGGGGCGGUCGCCUCCCAAAUAAUAACGGAGGCUUACAAAGGUUGGCUCAGAACGGUUGGAAAUCGUUCGUAGAGUAUAAAGGUAUAAGCCAGCUUAACUGCAAGACAUACAAGUCAAGCAGAGACGAAAGUCGGUCUUAGUGAUCCGGUGGUUCUGUGUGGAAGGGCCAUCGCUCAAAGGAUAAAAGGUACCCCGGGGAUAACAGGCUGAUCUCCCCCAAGAGCUCACAUCGACGGGGAGGUUUGGCACCUCGAUGUCGGCUCAUCGCAUCCUGGGGCUGGAGCAGGUCCCAAGGGUAUGGCUGUUCGCCAUUUAAAGCGGUACGCGAGCUGGGUUCAGAACGUCGUGAGACAGUUCGGUCCCUAUCUGCCGUGGGCGUAAGAAGAUUGAAGAGAUUUGACCCUAGUACGAGAGGACCGGGUUGAACAAACCACUGGUGUAGCUGUUGUUCUGCCAAGAGCAUCGCAGCGUAGCUAAGUUUGGAAAGGAUAAACGCUGAAAGCAUCUAAGCGUGAAGCCAACUCUAAGAUGAAUCUUCUCUAAGCUCUCUAGAAGACUACUAGUUUGAUAGGCUGGGUGUGUAAUGGAUGAAAGUCCUUUAGCUGACCAGUACUAAUAGAGCGUUUGGCUUAUCUUUAAUAAAGCAU
rnacentral:rRNA from 1 species